GGAUCCUAGAAAACCACCUCACCCCUGGAAAAAGGCUGGAUUUGAUAAAAGGAGGGGGGGAAUUAUGUCCGGAGAAAUAACUCUUGGGACUGAUUUAGAUUUAACGAGCAGAUUCCCCAGGCCGAACCCCCUCCGCUGGGCUGAAUUUAGAAGCAGAAGAGAUAACCAGGAGAUAAGGACCUGAUACCCGGGAGGGCAGCAAGAGAGACCGGCAGGCAGCCCGGAGAGAAGGGGGAGAAGCCAGAGGCAGCGUCGGGAAGGGGCUGUGGAUCCAGAUGUGCUGAGCUUCGGACAUGAGUCCCCCUCUAGAAUCCCUGGUGAUUUUCUCCACAGAAGCAGCUGAAGUUUCGUUGAAUUUCUACUGGAUCUCAGCCUUUUCUUCU